GCAUUGUUGGUUUAGUGGUAUAAUGGCCGCCUGCCAUAUGCCGACUCGGGAUCUGAUUCCCGGACAAUGCA